AAGAAAGUGGCAGAUAUGGUUAUGCGCCUGGCUUGAAAUCAGUGUAGGGGGGUUCGAAUCCCUCUUUUCUUG
rnacentral:tRNA from 1 species